rnacentral:ribozyme from 1 species
AGCAAUACUGCACUGGUAAGGUAUGGAUCCGUAACCUCUUGAAGGUCAAUAAAGGCUCUCCAUACCCUACUUCAAUACAAUACGUCCCCGGCGUAUAGAACGGUAACAUGUCUCUCAAAAUAUCUGAGAUUGGGUAUACGGGGCGGCCCGGUGGUGUAUACGAUAGCGGCGCCGGUCUUCACACGGCAGG